GCACCUGAACGCAGCACAUCGGGGACUGUUGUGGAACACACCGCAGCGCACCUGAACGCAGCACAUAGGGGACUGUUGUGGAACACAGCGCAGCGUACCUGAACGCAGCACGAGCACCAGGUUGGGGAUCAGUGGUCCUUGCCGCGUGUUUUCUCUUCCCAGUGAUGCCCAGGAUGCUAGCGAGCGAGCGGCUACAGAUACGACUCAUUUCAUGUGGAGCAGCAAUGGAAGCUACUCGAACAACCACGGGGACCAAGAUCAACGUCCGAGGCCAUAUUUGGGCGAACUUUUUUCUUUUGUCGGAGUGAAAGUUCCUUCCUCCCGGAUGAAGUGCCUCUUAUGCCGACCGAAAGCUACGGAGAUAUGGCCUUCAACAACUCACCAACCUCAGGAAACACAUUGAGGAAUGGACUACAUCAAGCAGCACAUGGAAAAACCCUCCCUGCAGCUAGGGGAUGCCACCAGGUCCAGUUCAUCUGAUGAAGAGGACUUCUUCUUCGUCAUCUCAAGCCCGUGACAGCAGCAAACAGCUGGAUGGAGACGUGGAUCACGUUGACUUGCUGAAAUGCUUCCCAACUGUGUGCUGCUGUCUGUCACUCUACCUGCAUCAGGGCCUGUGAAGCUAGACACACUCUACCUGCACCAUGUGAACGGCUCUUCAGCAUCGCAGGACUCGUCUUCAGCCCCAGAAGAGCGACACUGAAAUCUGUCCAUUUUGAAAAUCAACUUCUUUUGAAGAUGAACAAGACAUUUUUCACUUUAAAGUGAUGAUUUUGGUUGUUACUAUUGGUUCUGCUUUUUUCUGUGUUAAUCGUGUUUUUAUAUUUUAGUAAUUUCAUAGUAUUCAUAUAUUGCUAAGUUCAUCCUAGCUCAUACUCCUUGUUCAUGGCGGCCACAGCACCCAAACAAAUAAACUUCAUAAUUCUCAAAAUUCUGACCCUUUGUUGUUUUUUUAUUACCAGCAUUUACUUUUACUUUUACUUUCAAUACUUAAGUACAUUUAAUAUCAGAAAAUUACUUUUGAUACUUAAGUACAACAAAAAUCGGAUACUUUAAUACUUUUACUCAAGUAGUAUUCUCAUUCUCAGGGGCGGCUUUAGCUCAGUGGGGUAAGAGGGCCGUCCUGCAACCGCAGGGUUGUGGGUUCGAUCCCCGCUCUCCCCAUUAGUUGCAAGUCGAAGUGUCCUUGAGCAAGGCACUGAACCCCCAGUUGCUUCCCGGGCGCUUCACCGCAGCCCACUGCUCCUUAAUAACUAAGGAUGGGUUAAAUGCAGAGAACUAAUUUCCCCUUGGGGAUUAAUAAAAGUGUAUAUUCUAUUCUAGGUGACUUUUACUUUUACUUGAGUAAUUUUCCAGUCAAGUAUCUUUACUUUUACUCAAGUAUGACUUUUGGGUACUUUAUACACCACUGGUUGUAAGUCAUUGAAACUUUGGUUUAAUCUUAUAAAUCUUGUUAAAUUCAAAACAUUUGCCUCAUUGAGAAAUAGAAAUAAUAUUUCAACUUUGGCGAAUGAGAGACACACAAGAUUAAAUAUUUCUACUUUGACGAAAAUUUCGCCUGACUGAGUUGCAAAAGCCAAUCAGUGUUGAGACACUACACCCGUCAUCACUGACGUCUUGCUGUUGGUGAAUCUAACUUGCUGCUACUCUAGCAGCGCUGGAAGCGGCAGUUAUUCAGACGUAGUCGGUGAAAGUCACCGAGCUGUGUGAGCCUACGGGUGAUGUUAUGAACUCAGACACGAGGGCGUUAGAUGUUCCGACGUUUGUGGGAUGUCCUCAACAAGUAUAAAGCAGGACUAGUGGUUAGUUCUUCGUGGUGGAUGAAGGAAACGAUAACCGUUUCCACGGAGUAAAGCCACGGAGAUAAGCCACGCCCCUCUAAGGCCGGAAUGAAGCAAAUGACGCUCAUGUGAUUGGUUGAAAAUGAGGGCGACAUCUGAUUGGCUACAGAUAGGUCUAUGUUGAAAAAAACGCAUUUGCGAAUCGAGACACAGCAGGGGGGUCUCAAAAACCCGUACACAAAUGUGGAGCGAUUCACAAACAAAUAAAUCGUAAUUUAAUGAUGUGUGCAUUGGAAUGUAUUUGUGAAUCGUUCUGCGUGUAUUUGUGAGUCUCUCUGUGUGCAUUUGCCAUUAUUGAGACUGAUCUGACCCCAUACAGCUCUCCCUGGAUGUAAUACGACGUGUUUUCUUUCUAAAAUCUCUUAACCAAUUCAGCUUUGUUGUUGUUGUUGAUUUAACAAUAGGAAACUACGCAUGCAUUCCAAUAAAUGGCGCCUAUCAUGUUUUAUCCAUGAUGGAAUGUAGCGUCUAAUCAGCU